CCCGGCAACCGGAGGCAACGCGCGGACGUUCCGGGCCGCGGGCGGUAACACCGGCCCGGUGGGGAUGAAGCUGCCGCCGUUCCCCGCCCUGCACCUCCCGGCAGCGCGCUACCAGGGAGAAAAUAAUUAAGGGACCAGCAGCUUUCAUCACCUUGGCCAUGACUCCACCUCAACAAGCCCAUCACGCCCAGUCCCAGCACAUGCAGGAUCUUCAUCCUCAAUUCAGGGACACCACGACCAGCCUCGCUGCACACGUAUCAGCUUAACCGAGGGAUAAAUGCAACCCAGCUGCUUGGCUGCCUCUCCUUUCCUCUGUACAGAUCAUCUCCCAGAGACCUUCGGGAGAUGCCCCACGCUGCGACCAGUAACAUGAAACCGAUAAAGGCCGCGGUAAGUAACGUGAUACACAGCCUGCGCCGCUGUCUGUUGCGUGCCAUUGUUUUCGAGGAGAUACGGUAUCAGCCGUAUUAAUAGUUAAUUUAAAAUCAUGCAACUGGAGCCACAGCCCUUUGUGGAAAGUUUCGUGCAGGCCGGGCCGUGCAUUAUGUAUGGGAGCGGCAGCCUGGCUGCGUGGCCGGCGUUGCCGAAAGGAGCCCUGGAGAGGCGAGAGGGAGGCGAGUCAGGCCACGGUCAGCUCUGUGGUGUUCAGUCAAGGAGGAUCAGCUUUUAACAGCCACGUACGCUUGUAAGGCACAGCGCAACAAGCAGGGUUCACGCAAAUGCUGCCUGGAUGCUGCUCGUGGUCCCCCGUGGGUUAGCACGAACAGCGCGGAGAGCAUCCCUCGAGGAAGCACCGGUGUUGCUCCCAUCCCUCCUGGCAGCACCAGAACUUCGCUCUGCAGCUUCUCGGCGCCUCAUCCGCGGUCUGGACCACGACUCCUCAGCGGAAAGCUACGGUGCACCUACCAGUUACCAUCUCGGCGCCGUAGCUGCCCACGGCCACGGGAAUAGAGACACAAACAUGUCGGUGCUGUCACCGCCGAGCUCCUGGCUCUGCCUCUGCCUGAGCAGGACCCUCAGCUCCACUGUGCUCAGCGCCAGAGUCCUCCGGCUGCCUGGGAGCCCCCCGGCAGAAGCCAAAGGGUUUCAAUGCCCCAAACCACCUUCAAUCCCCAUUUCCCCUGACCGGCAGCACAGCCGAAGCUGGGUGUACACUUGAGGACCUCCACUUCUUUCCAAACCAGAUCCACCUCCUGAUUUAGACCCUAAACUACAAGUUCCAUCGGGGUGCAAAUCCUUCCCCGCCUCACACUUUUACUGCCCCUGAGUUGUUCCGACCUGAUGACACUUAUCUGGGCAAAAUGGACCCGACUCAUCCAAGCAGUAAUGUCUGUUUGCUUUACACCGCGCGGGUGCAAGAACACCAGUCGUUUCGUUCCAGGGUAACAGAGACGAGACCUGCCACACGUACUGAUUUGCUCGUGGCAAUAAGCCAGAUCUGUGGCAGAGCCACGCUGCGCUCCACCACUUAAUUUCCAUUAAGCCUCACGCUUCAAACGAUACAGUGAUUGCAGGGGAUGGGCUGUUUUUUUCUAUCUCAUUCUCCACCAGCCCUUUCCCACCUCUGAAUCUCAUUUUCGUGGCCAGGCGAGGGCUCAUAUCGAGAUCCGUGGCGACACCAGGGCCAAGAGCUUUUCAUCUAAAGAGCGAUUAAGGAGUUAAAUAUCAUCCUUCUGCUUUUCCUCUGUUGUAAUAACAGCAAAGAUGAUCCGCUCGCGCUUUGGAGAGGGAAGGGAAAUAAAAUACCCUGCCUGGAUUUUGUACGGGGAGGGGAAGGCCGGGCUGGGCUGGGCCGAGCGGAGCCGAGCUCAGCCGAGCCGAGCGGAGCCGAGCUCAGCCGAGGCGAGCCGAGUCGAGCCGAGCCCCGCCGACCCGAACUCAGCCGAGCUCAGCCGAGCCCCGCCGAACCGAACCGAGCGGAGCCGAACCGGGCGCCGAGCUGAGCCCAGCCCAGCCCAGCCCAGCCCAG